GCCAGAUACACUUACCCAGCAGAUAUAUACUGUAUACUCCCUCACAGUCAUUUACAAUCUGAUUAUGACACCUAGAACACAGAUAAGCGCCAGGGAAAAGUAUCUUAUUCUGGAAACUACAGUUUUGAGAUUGCAAUAUGUGUAUUAGCCCGCACACAGCUAUUAGCCUGGACAUAAAUUAUAACCUGAAAACUUGUAUACAAAGAACUACAAUGAGAAACCUUUACACACGUAAUAAUCCAUUGGAUUCAACACCAAUACAGACAAUGGCGCUGGGAUCAGACUGAAAAGCUUCCUUGUCUCAGAAGAGAGAGAGAGAGAGAGAGAGAGGGAAGAAGAUAAGUGACUGUGCAUCGCUGAGGCCGACCACAACUGACCAACAAGGAUUCUUCCCCGGGCCCCAGCUGUGCCGGCGGAAUGGAGAGAGCGAGCGGAUAGAGGAGCGCAGGAUAGCGGAGCACACAGGCACC